rnacentral:rRNA from 1 species
CGCGUAGGCGGUGUAAUAAGUUUUUUGUUUAAUUUUCCAGCCCAACUGGAAGUAUGCAGGAAAUACUAUUAUGCUAGAGUUUGAUAGAGGAAAGUGGAAUUCUCGGAGUAGCGGUAAAAUGCGUAGAUCUCGAGAGGAACGCCAAUGGUGAAGACAGCUUUCUGGAUCAUAACUGACGCUAAUGCGCGAAGGCGUGGGGAGCAAACA